rnacentral:rRNA from 1 species
CAGCAGCCACGGUAAUACGUAGGUGGCAAGCGUUGUCCGGAAUUAUUGGGCGUAAAGGGCUCGCAGGCGGUUUCUUAAGUCUGAUGUGAAAGCCCCCGGCUCAACCGGGGAGGGUCGUUGGAAACUGGGAAACUUGAGUGCAGAAGAGGAGAGUGGAAUUCCACGUGUAGCGGUGAAAUGCGUAGAGAUGUGGAGGAACACCAGUGGCGAAGGCGACUCUCUGGUCUGUAACUGACGCUGAGGAGCGAAAGCGUGGGGAGCGAACAGGAUUAGAUACCCCAGUAGUCCCUGUCUCUUAUAU